rnacentral:rRNA from 1 species
UACGUAGGGUGCAAGCGUUAUCGGAAUUAUCGUGGCGUAAAGAGCUCGUAGGCGGUUUGUCGCGUCUGCUGUGAAAACUCGGGGCUCAACUCCGAGCUUGCAGUGGGUACGGGCAGACUAGAGUGCGGUAGGGGAGACUGGAAUUCCUGGUGUAGCGGUGGAAUGCGCAGAUAUCAGGAGGAACACCGGUGGCGAAGGCGGGUCUCUGGGCCGUAACUGACGCUGAGGAGCGAAAGCAUGGGGAGCGAACAGG